ACCACCAAACAAGAGGGCAAAGACCACCAAAGCAUCAAUUGUGCCUUGCGAGGAUGAUGCUCCAGCAGCCUCUAUGUGCUUUCCGCCAAGCCAAAGCUUGGAACCUACAACUACGAAAAAGAGAAAACAUGAUAACUCAAUUACUGGAGCAUCAAAAAGCCAAAUGUUGGAGAAAACAACUAAGG